AUUGAACGCUGGCGGCAUGCCUUACACAUGCAAGUCGAACGGCAGCACGGGUGCUUGCACCUGGUGGCGAGUGGCGGACGGGUGAGUAAUACAUCGGAACAUGUCCUGUAGUGGGGGAUAGCCCGUCGAAAGCCGGAUUAAUACCGCAUACGAUCUACGGAUGAAAGCGGGGGCCCUUCGGGCCUCGCGCUGUAGGGUUGGCCGAUGGCUGACUAGCUAGUUGGUGGGGUAAAGGCCUACCAAGGCGACGAUCAGUAGCUGGUCUGAGAGGACGACCAGCCAGACUGGGACUGAGACACGGCCCAGACUCCUACGGGAGGCAGCAGUGGGGAAUUUUGGACGAUGGGCGAAAGCCUGAUCCAGCAAUGCCGCGUGUGUGAAGAAGGCCUUCGGGUUGUAAAGCACUUUUGUCCGGAAAGAAAUCCUUGGCUCUAAUACAGGCGGGGGAUGACGGUACCGGAAGAAUAAGCACCGGCUAACUACGUG
rnacentral:rRNA from 1 species